rnacentral:lncRNA from 1 species
AGGAUCUCCACUUGAUGUCACCGUGCUGCUGCAAAAAGAAAUGGCCCUGAAGCGAUAUGGUGUUCCAUUUAGUUGUCUUGGAGGCGGAUCGGUGUUGGUUGUGUGCAGGUUGAUCCUUUUGUUAGUCUCUACUUCAGCAGCAUUUGGCUCACUUCCUUCCCGUUCUACUAGCAAGGUUUCCUGGAAGAGUUCUCGUAGUUUCUUUCUCCCAGUUGGAGAAGGUUCAGAGCUGGUUUCUGGACUCUUGUCGAUGUAUAUGGAAUUUACCGGUCGAGGGGUCAAUGGUG